GACGAACGCUGGCGGCGUGCCUAACACAUGCAAGUCGAGCGGGGUUGAGGCGAGAGGUAACUCGAGCUUCUACCUAGCGGCGGACGGGUGAGUAACGCGUGGGCAACCUGCCUCAAGGUUUGGGAUAACAGCCCGAAAGGGCUGCUAAUACCGGAUAUGCCUAUGGCCUCGCAUGGGGCUAUGAGCAAAGGGGAAACCCGCCUUGAGAUGGGCCCGCGUCCCAUCAGCUAGUUGGUGAGGUAACAGCUCACCAAGGCGACGACGGGUAGCCGGCCUGAGAGGGUGACCGGCCACACUGGGACUGAGACACGGCCCAGACUCCUACGGGGGGCAGCAGUGGGGGAUCUUGCACAAUGGGCGAAAGCCUGAUGCAGCGACGCCGCGUGAGCGAAGAAGGCCUGGUUGUAAGACGUCUGUCUGGAGGGACGGAAGGAAGUGACGGUACCUCCGGAGGAGGCCACGGCUAACUACGUGCCAGCAGCCGCGGUAAUCCUGUAGUCGUCG
rnacentral:rRNA from 1 species